rnacentral:rRNA from 1 species
UACGUAGGGUGCAAGCGUUAAUCGGAAUUACUGGGCGUAAAGCGUGCGUAGACGGUUACAUAAGUCGGGUGUGAAAGCCCCGGGCUCAACCUGGGAAUUGCAUUCGAGACUGCGUAGCUAGGGUGCGGAAGAGGGAAGCGGAAUUUCCGGUGUAGCGGUGAAAUGCGCAGAUAUCAGGAAGAACACCCGUGGCGAAGGCGGCUCUCUGGGACGGUACUGACGCUGAGACGCGAAAGCGUGGGGAGCGAACAGG